GACGAACGCUGGCGGCGUGCUUAACACAUGCAAGUCGAACGAAGUGGCGAACGGGUGAGUAACGCGUAAUCAACCUGCCCUUCAGAGGGGGACAACAGUUGGAAACGACUGCUAAUACCGCAUACAGAAGGAGGGGAUUGCGUCGGAUUAGCUAGUUGGGGGGGUAACGGGCCACCAAGGCGAGGAGCAGUAGCCGGGCUUGGAGGAUGAACUGCCACAUUGGGACUGGGACAAGGCCCAGACUCCUACGGGAGGCAGCAGUGGGGAAUCUUCCGCAAUGGGCGAAAGUCUGACGGAGCAACGCCGCGUGAGUGAUGACGGCCUUCGGGUUGUAAAGCUCUGUUAAUCGGGACGCGGUACCGGAAUAGAAAGCCACGGCUAACUACGUGCCAGCAGCCGCGGUAAUUC
rnacentral:rRNA from 1 species